rnacentral:rRNA from 1 species
CGUCUGGAAAGAAUUUCGGUUGGGGAUGGGCUCRCGGCCUAUCAGCUUGUUGGUGAGGUAAUGGCUCACCAAGGCGUCRACGGGUAGCCGGCUUGAGAGGGUGACCGGCCACACUGGGACUGAGACACGGCCCAGACUCCUACGGGAGGCAGCAGUGGGGAAUAUUGCACAAUGGGCGCAAGCCUGAUGCAGCAACGCCGCGUGAGGGAUGACGGCCUUCGGGUUGUAAACCUCUUUUAGCAGGGAAGAAGCGAAAGUGACGGUACCUGCAGAAAAAGCGCCGGCUAACUACGUGCCAGCAGCCGCGGUAAUACGUAGGGCGCAAGCGUUAUCCGGAAUUAUUGGGCGUAAAGAGCUCGUAGSCGGUUUGUCGCGUMUKCUGUGAAAUCCCGAGGCUCAACCUCGGGCCUGCAGUGGGUACGGGCAGACUAGAGUGCGGUAGGGGAGAUUGGAAUUCCUGGUGUAGCGGUGGAAUGCGCAGAUAUCAGGAGGAACACCGAUG